UACAGUUGAGUUGAGUUGAGAAACGGCAUGACUGAAUUGGAUUAUUUGUUUAUUUUAUAUUAAUUGCAUUAUUGACCUGUUAUUCUGAACCAUUUCUACAAUGUCUCCACGCGGUUGUUGCACUCAACUGCAUUGCAUACAGCUUUCAAAUGCCCAAUUAUUUAUCUUCCUAUACAAAAAAAACAAACAUGUAAUUGGACACGAACAAAUGUAUUACCGGUAGUUAUUCCUUAAAUCGCAAAAGAAUAUUGUCCAGAAAACAAGGAAAUAAGCAUGUUGAGCUUUGUCCUGCCAUAAAUAGAAAGACACAUUCAGCAGUGUCGUUCACUGCUCCACAUGGACCAAGGACAGGAAGUGACAUCACUGUACAAGGAAAUUGCUAACUGCCCUUGUGUGAUUUUUUUCGCAGGUUUUUGUUUUUUGUUUUUUGUUUUUUUGCCCUACUAGGAAUCAUUGAAAUUAUAUAAAACACAUCUGGGUGGCAUUGCAAAACAAUGCGUGCCGGUUUAAGGACCCCUUGGGAAAUUCACUCUAAUAAUGCAUGCAAUAUGUUGUUAAUCUGUCCCACAUGGGAUGAAUAUAUGCUUUCACAGAAAAAAAAAAGUCAAUAAACAUACAAGCACACUGCCCAAUUGCAUGCUUGAUACAUCAAGGGGCUGACUACGCUUGCAGUAGUUCACAUUCACGUUUGGAUGACAUAGAGUAUGUAUUUAUCUGUGAAGACCUUUUACUGAUUUAGACACCUGUUUAUGCUGAUAGACUGGAGUUCUUUCAAAACAUGCAUCAUGAAUAAACCAGUCCACUUUGCCUGGAUUAUUUGAGUAUAAGACUACACUAUAAAAAAUAAAAAGGCAUACAUCAGCGAUUGUCUCAGGUAUCAGGGAGGAUAUAAUGUUCACUAAACUGAGAUUGAAUAGAAUGGUUGCUAUGGCAACCAGAGUCCACAGUAUGACACAAUGAACAGCAGCAGGCUGUUGUGGUUACACAGUAAGUCACUGGCAGCCACACAAAGCUCUCUGACUGCAGUAUCUUCUGCUCUCUGCUGGGAAUGUAGAAACAAUUGAUUUUGAUACACUUAUGAGAAACAACUUGUCAUUUCAACCGGAUUAGUGGAGAUGAUAGAAAUUAGUUUAGAUAUAUUCCAUGCAAAGGCCAGACCCAUUGGAAGUUGUGGUCGGUUUAUGUUUUGAUGGAAAAAAAAUAACCAACAUUGGUGUCCCCUGUGGCAGCUGUCAGUCAUUUUUGAGCUAGUGCAUUUAAAUGUGCAACUAGAGUUAAGUAUAGUUUGAUAACACGGGUGAAAGGCGGGGGGGAUGGGUGUCUGUUGCGUUACAAUUUUAUGCUGAUUAAAACUGAUAAAAGCGUGCUGAUUCCAACAUUUCAAUUGUUUCUUUUUCCGAGCAUGUCGUUUUUCUCUCCACAUCAGACCAGAAAAGCAACAUUCCACAAAUUAGCUGUAGUAAGACUUACUAUCUUAUCAUGAUUAGACACAUCUACUGUGCAUCCUAGUGACACUGUGUGUGCAGCUUCCAAUAGGUCAGUGCUAUCAAUACUGUAUGUGCUAACAGAAAAGUAACAUAGUAGGAAUUAGGAGGAUUAGUCCCCUCUUCUCUUAACCAUGUACAGAGCCCCUAAAGUGACAUGGAAGGGAAAAAAGCUUCCUCGCAAAGAUUACAAGAUAAUGUAGACGCUUUUUU